CAGCAGCCACGGUAAUACGAAGGGGGCUAGCGUUGUUCGGAAUUACUGGGCAUAAAGCGCACGUAGGCGGAUAUUUAAGUCAGGGGUGAAAUCCCGCAGCUCAACUGCGGAACUGCCUUUGAUACUGGGUAUCUUGAGUAUGGAAGAGGUUAGUGGAAUUGCGAGUGUAGAGGUGAAAUUCGUAGAUAUUCGCAGGAACACCAGUGGCGAAGGCGGCUCACUGGCUCGAUACUGACGCUGAGGUGCGAAAGCGUGGGGAGCAAACAGGAUUAGAUACCCCUGUAGUCCCUGUCUCUUAUAC
rnacentral:rRNA from 1 species